ACCAGUGAGUGCCAAAGGGAUCAAAGAGUCAAAAUUAUGAUAAUGUCUUACUACUCAGAAAGCCACCUGGACUCAAGGCCCAUCUACGUGCAAGAAAAUGGGCAGCUGCACGUGGUCAAUAGGGCUCUGGAUGAUGUCAAGAGUGGCCUACAGAAACCAAGACCUGUCAGACUGUGUCCCAAAGGCUUUUCCGUGGAGCUAUGCAUGAAUGGAGAAGAUGAUACUGCACAGAAAGAGAAGACUGAUCAUUUCAUCUUCACGUAUACCCGGGAAGGAAAUCUUCGGUACUCCCCCAAAUCCCUCUUCAGCCUUAUCCUGGGCUUCAUCUCUGACAAUGUUGAUCAGAUUGAUUCCCUUGUUGGCUUUCCUGAGCAGAUUGCUGAAAAGCUGUUCUCUGAAGCUGAAGCCAGACAGAAAUUCACAGAGCCAGGGGUGGGGCUGAGGGCUUUACAGAUAUUCACUGAGGCCUAUGGAAGUCUAGUGCUUUGCUCCUUGUGUUUGAGAAACAGGUAUCUGGUGAUUUCAGAAAAACUUGAGGAGAUUAAGUCUUUCCGGGAUCUGACCUGCCUGGAUCUUUCCUGUUGCAAGCUUGGAGAUGAGCAUGAACUUUUAGAACAUCUCACCAGUGAAGCCCUGUCUACCAUAACUCAACUCCACCUGAAGGAUAAUUGUUUAUCUGAUGCUGGGGUACAGAAAAUGACAGCACCAGUUAGAGUGAUGAAAAGAGGCCUUGAAAAUCUAGCAUUAUUAGACCUGUCAUGUAACCCUGAGAUUACAGACGCAGGAAUAAGAUACCUCUUUUCUUUUAGAAAACUCAACUGCUUAGAUAUCUCUGGGACUGGGCUUAAGGACAUCAAAGCUGUCAAGCACGAGCUCCAGACUCACAUAGGCCUUAUUCACUCCAAUGUGCCUUUGAAGGAAUUUGAUCAUAGUAACUGCAAGACAGAGGGCUGGGCUGACCACAUCAUUCUGCAAUGGGAGCGUAUGACUGCGGAAGCUGCAAAGCCACGGGAAACCUCAGAGCCACGAACAGCAGCUCAGCACUUCCAUGGGAAGUGGGCUCAAGCAGAAGCUCCAGUGAAGUGUCCUCCGGCAGACAUCCACAUAAACUCUUCAGAGAAACUACAGUUCUAUAGAGAGAAAACCCUGGACUGCCAUGGGACAUUGUUGAAAUGUGAAGCUGUCUCAAGCCAGGAGUCAACAGUGCAAAAAGAGAGUUUUUGA